rnacentral:rRNA from 1 species
GACGUAGGAGGCGAGCGUUGUCCGGAUUCAUUGGGCGUAAAGAGCGCGCAGGCGGCUUGGUAAGUCGGAUGUGAAAUCCCGAGGCUCAACCUCGGGUCUGCAUCCGAUACUGCCCGGACUAGAGGUAUGGCAGGGGAGAACGGAAUUCCUGGUGUAGCGGUGAAAUGCGCAGAUAUCAGGAGGAACACCGGUGGCGAAGGCGGUUCUCUGGGCAUUACCUGACGCUGAGGAGCGAAAGUGUGGGGAGCGAACAGG